AUGACGACCAUGAUGCCGGCCGUGCGUCCGAGCACCUGUGGUCUGUACAUCGACGGCCUGCCCUUUUCUCAUUUUCUUGUCCCCGAAGAGUUCGAUCGAUCAAAAACUUGGAAGGGUGAGAGUAGCCAUGUUCCGGCCCUGUGUGUGUUUUCGUUGCGCGAAAGUUCCUGGCCAGACCAACCUGCUUCUUUCCCCCUCUGCGCUAGCUCCAAGAUGCAUGUCUCGUCCUGGUCGAUUAACCGCGACCUCGACCACUUCGAUCCGCCGAUGCUCGGCACCGCUACCAAGACCCACCAAUCAGUCCUUGCUUGUGUCCAUGAUGAAGAUGAAGUUGCAGAAUGCAGAUAUUGGCCAACUCACCGACCACGCACACAUGUGUUGGCGCGGCGCCCCGGGCGUGGCCUGACUGGUGCAGCGCGCUGA
rnacentral:rRNA from 1 species